UCUCUCCCGAUCUGGAACCCUCUCGUGGCUUCAUCUCUCCCCACCCCCUCCGGCCAGCCAUGGAACCCCGAUCUGCCGCGGUGGCCGGCGCCGGCGUAGUCUGCCCCAGUGACUCGCAUGUCUCCUCUCUGCCUCUGCAGCACCCCGCUCACCCCCACCCCCCAAAAUCCGGGCCAUCUCCUAUAUUCCCCAUCUCCUCCGAUCCCGACCUCCGCAAGUACGGCAUCGACACAUCUCCUGCAUCUUCCUCUAUACCAGUCGUCGCACCACCCACCAUCACUAUCUCCUCCCUGUCUCCUCCGCCCCUCCCCCGUCUCCUUUCAGCAUUGUAAAAGGAGCACGAGGUCAAAGGGGGGCAAGAUCUGAGUGGCUGGAGGCUGAUGCCUGACGGGACACCAUGCACUAGGGACAAUCUCUGCUCGUUUAACACCAGGUGCUACCUCAAACUAACGCCUACUCCGAGCCCGCAUUCGCUAGCUACAGCCGUGGCCAACCAUUGCCCACAAUGGCUUAGGCUGAUGCCUGAUGGGACACCAUGCUUAGAUGAGGAAUGCACGCCGUGGAAGUAAUCUGUUUUACGGUUCCACCCUGAACGGCAGCGGGCUUCCGAGAUCCUCGCCUGUCGAGGUCUUGAAUCCCUACAUGGUGAUCCUAUCCUGAUAUGGAAGACAAGUACUCCAGCCGCUGAUGAAAGCGGCCCAGAAGCACACAUAAUGACGGACGUGGUUUUGAUCUAUAGAGCAUUUGAGGAUCAAAUGAGAUGGAGAUUCAGUUCUCUAAUUUCUGUUUUGGUUCAGUUUUUUCACCAUUUCUACUCAAGGUGGCGAAGGGUUUCCUUGUGAUCGGCGCGGCACCAAUCUUCUGGGUGUUAUGGAAGACCAAGAAUAAAUCCUUCUUUAAAUGUGUUCGUCCUGGAGAUCCAACCACUGUAUUUUUUUAUGUUUGUCAGUUCUUAACAUCUUGGGCAACCUUUGCAGAAAGGGGCUCUUUAAGGACUGUUGUGACAGCGAUCCCGUAAGCUGGCGAUGGUGGUGUAGGAAGUGUAUGGGCGUCGACAUAGCUGGAACCAAUAAAUUGUCGUCCUCCUUUUUGUGCUUUCCUGUGUUAGCCUAUUUGGGAUUCUAUGACCAAUUUCUUUUUUCUCUGUAUGAGAGUUGGCUGUAGUUCGUCAAUUACUGGUCGACGAUGCUGAUGCUCAUGUUACCAAGGAUAUGACGUAAGGAGUAGUUGUUUAUGCCUUUGUGUUCUGUUUGGGUGGCUUAUACCUGGCCCGUACGCUGGUGUGUGUGCAUGUGUAUACUGGAAUGAUUUCAGCAACGAUAUUGGGCAUGUAAGCUACUUUUCUUGGAAAAAAGUGCAACUACAUGGCAAACAUGACAGAUGUUAAGAUGUUUAAGAUUUUACUGAAGUGAAAGCUGAGCAAA